GCAGAUAACUACUAUUAGGAAAAGCAAAAGAAAACUUCUCAAAGGAGUAUAUCAGAACUCAAACUCAUAAAACUGUAUCCAUUCAUACCUGGCUAAUCUCCCAAGUGUCUGUUGAUCGUGAUCUUCAUUUUCUGAAGAAUAUCCAGAGUCACACUUUACCCUCUCUUUCAUGGUUAAGAUGAAGCAUCUGCUGCCUGCCUUCUUCAUUAUCAUCACAAAGAGUGAGAGUUUAAAAGCUAGAAGGAUGGUGAAAUAGUGUAGCAUGCACUUGAGAGUGUUCUCCAAGGAAGAUGGGAGAAAAUUGACGUUUUUGUUCCGAGUCUUCCAAAUUUCAGUUUCCUGUGAUCUGGGUGACAAAUUAGAGCAUGGACAUUUCAAAUAUUGUUAUCACUGCUGAAAGUAUUGAUGGUUUCACUUCAUAAAUGAGAGAGGACUGACUAAAGAAAGAUUAAUAACCUUUAAAUAGUGGAAAACAUAAAUCUAUUUGUUUCAUAACAGUAUUAUCAAUUGUUGGCAAUUUACUAGAUUAAGGUAUAACAAUCAGAGAACCACAUUACUUAUUGUAAAACUAUUGGCAAAUAAUCUGAGCUUAAAUUCUGUUUCUUUUUUUUAAUCUUUAUUAUUGACAAAACUCUAAAUUACUGAAUUAAAAUUGGCAAAUCUGGACAGCUGUGUUGAUGCCAUGAUGAUUUUUUGCCUUUUCUUUUAUACCCCUUUUUU